UGACUGCGUACCUUUUGUAUAAUGGGUCAGCGACUUAUAUUCUGUAGCAAGGUUAACCGAAUAGGGGAGCCGGAGGGAAACCGAGUCUUAAUUGGGCGUUAAGUUGCAGGGUAUAGACCCGAAACCCGGUGAUCUAGCCAUGGGCAGGUUGAAGGUUGGGUAACACUAACUGGAGGACCGAACCGACUAAUGUUGAAAAAUUAGCGGAUGACCUGUGGCUGGGGGUGAAAGGCCAAUCAAACCGGGAGAUAGCUGGUUCUCCCCGAAAGCUAUUUAGGUAGCGCCUCGUGAAUUCAUCUCCGGGGGUAGAGCACUGUUUCGGCUAGGGGGCCAUCCCGGCUUACCAACCCGAUGCAAACUGCGAAUACCGGAGAAUGUUAUCACGGGAGACACACGGCGGGUGCUAACGUCCGUCGUGAAGAGGGAAACAACCCAGACCGCCAGCUAAGGUCCCAAAGUCAUGGUUAAGUGGGAAACGAUGUGGGAAGGCCCAGACAGCCAGGAUGUUGGCUUAGAAGCAGCCAUCAUUUAAAGAAAGCGUAAUAGCUCACUGGUCGAGUCGGCCUGCGCGGAAGAUGUAACGGGGCUAAACCAUGCACCGAAGCUGCGGCAGCGACACUGUGUGUUGUUGGGUAGGGGAGCGUUCUGUAAGCCUGUGAAGGUGUGUCGUGAGGCAUGCUGGAGGUAUCAGAAGUGCGAAUGCUGACAUAAGUAACGAUAAAGCGGGUGAAAAGCCCGCUCGCCGGAAGACCAAGGGUUCCUGUCCAACGUUAAUCGGGGCAGGGUGAGUCGACCCCUAAGGCGAGGCCGAAAGGCGUAGUCGAUGGGAAGCGGGUUAAUAUUCCCGUACUUGGUGUUACUGCGAAGGGGGGACGGAGAAGGCUAUGUUGGCCGGGCGACGGUUGUCCCGGUUUAAGCGUGUAGGUGUGUGUUCCAGGUAAAUCCGGUUCACUUUAACACUGAGGCGUGACGACGAGGCACUACGGUGCUGAAGCAACAAAUGCCCUGCUUCCAGGAAAAGCCUCUAAGCAUCAGGUAACAUCAAAUCGUACCCCAAACCGACACAGGUGGUCAGGUAGAGAAUACCAAGGCGCUUGAGAGAACUCGGGUGAAGGAACUAGGCAAAAUGGUGCCGUAACUUCGGGAGAAGGCACGCUGACACGUAGGUGAAGUGAUUUACUCAUGGAGCUGAAGUCAGUCGAAGAUACCAGCUGGCUGCAACUGUUUAUUAAAAACACAGCACUGUGCAAACACGAAAGUGGACGUAUACGGUGUGACGCCUGCCCGGUGCCGGAAGGUUAAUUGAUGGGGUCAGCGCAAGCGAAGCUCCUGAUCGAAGCCCCGGUAAACGGCGGCCGUAACUAUAACGGUCCUAAGGUAGCGAAAUUCCUUGUCGGGUAAGUUCCGACCUGCACGAAUGGCGUAAUGAUGGCCAGGCUGUCUCCACCCGAGACUCAGUGAAAUUGAACUCGCUGUGAAGAUGCAGUGUACCCGCGGCAAGACGGAAAGACCCCGUGAACCUUUACUAUAGCUUGACACUGAACAUUGAGCCUUGAUGUGUAGGAUAGGUGGGAGGCUUUGAAGUGUGGACGCCAGUCUGCAUGGAGCCGACCUUGAAAUACCACCCUUUAAUGUUUGAUGUUCUAACGUGGACCCGUUACCCGGGUUGCGGACAGUGUCUGGUGGGUAGUUUGACUGGGGCGGUCUCCUCCUAAAGAGUAACGGAGGAGCACGAAGGUUGGCUAAUCCUGGUCGGACAUCAGGAGGUUAGUGCAAUGGCAUAAGCCAGCUUGACUGCGAGCGUGACGGCGCGAGCAGGUGCGAAAGCAGGUCAUAGUGAUCCGGUGGUUCUGAAUGGAAGGGCCAUCGCUCAACGGAUAAAAGGUACUCCGGGGAUAACAGGCUGAUACCGCCCAAGAGUUCAUAUCGACGGCGGUGUUUGGCACCUCGAUGUCGGCUCAUCACAUCCUGGGGCUGAAGUAGGUCCCAAGGGUAUGGCUGUUCGCCAUUUAAAGUGGUACGCGAGCUGGGUUUAGAACGUCGUGAGACAGUUCGGUCCCUAUCUGCCGUGGGCGCUGGAGAACUGAGGGGGGCUGCUCCUAGUACGAGAGGACCGGAGUGGACGCAUCACUGGUGUUCGGGUUGUCAUGCCAAUGGCACUGCCCGGUAGCUAAAUGCGGAAGAGAUAAGUGCUGAAAGCAUCUAAGCACGAAACUUGCCCCGAGAUGAGUUCU
rnacentral:rRNA from 1 species